rnacentral:rRNA from 1 species
GUGAAAUGCGUAGAUAUCGGGAGGAACACCAGUGGCGAAGGCGGCAACCUGGCCUGUUACUGACGCUGAGACGCGAAAGUGUGGGGAGCAAACCGGCUUAGAUACCCGGGUAGUCCACACCCUAAACGUUGCGAACUAGGUGUUGGCAAGAUUGACCUUGUCAGUGCUGAAGCUAACGCAUUAAGUUCGCCGCCUGGGAAGUACGGUCGCAAGAUUAAAACUCAAAGGAAUAGGCGGGGGCCCGCACAAGCAGCGGAGCGUGUGGUUUAAUUCGAUGCUACGCGAAGAACCUUACCUGGGCUUGACAUGUUUCAGAAAUCCCCAUGAAAGUGGGGCCCUCCCGCAAGGGACUGUUACACAGGUAGUGCAUGGCUGUCGUCAGCUCGUGCCGUGAGGUGUUGGGUUAAGUCCCGCAACGAGCGCAACCCCUGUCCUCAGUUGAAUAUUCUGGGGAGACUGCCAGGCGAAACCUGGAGGAAGGUGGGGAUGAAGUCAAGUCAGCAUGCCCUUUAUGUCCAGGGCUACACACACGCUACAAUGGCCGGUACAACGGGUUCCGAAACGGUGACGUUAAGGCAAUCCCUUAAAACCGGUCUCAGUUCGGAUUGCAGGCUGCAACUCGCCUGCAUGAAGUUGGAGUUGCUAGUAACCGCCGGUCAGCACACGGCGGUGAAUACGUUCCCGGGCCUUGCACUCACCGCCCGUCACAUCACCCGAGUCUGGUGCUCCCGAAGUCGCUGGCUGAACCCGUAAGGGACAGAGGUGCCUAAGGAGUGCCCGGUAAGGGGGGUGAAGUCGUAACAAGGUAACCGU